rnacentral:rRNA from 1 species
AUGCAAGUGCAGGCGGCCGCUACCAUACGGCUUUGUCUUGGGGAUCAGGUCAUGUAUCAUGUCAUGGACGAAGAUUCUCCUAAGGGAAUUGGGGACAAGUUGGCAAAUCGUUAUAUGUCCAAGUCGGUGACCAAUAAGCUGUAUUUGAAGCAAAAGUUUUAUGGGCUGAAGAUGCAGGAGGGGUCAGAUCUUGUGGAGUAUAUGAACGCCUUUAAUCAAGUCGUGACGGACCUAGCACACUUGGGUGCGACGGUUGACGACGAGGAUAGGGCAAUUCUGCUUCUUUGUUCAUUGCCAUCAUCCUAUGACCAUUUGAUCACUACUUUGACGCACGACAAGGAGACCGUCAAGAACGAGGAUAUUAUUGUGGCAUUGCUAUCUUAUGAUAUGAGAAAGAAGAACGCGGUGGAAGUCUCUCAUGGUGAAGGUUUGCUAGUCAAAGGUGAAGAGUGGCAGAAGGGAUAUGAGGCUGGGAAGAACAAGAAAAAGAAAAGGAAUAUACAAUGUCACAAGUGUAAGCAGUGGGGACAUAUGAGAAAGGAUUGUCCAGUACUCAAUGGUGGGGCAAGUGCUAAUAAGGCAACUCAUGGUGAUGACUCAGACAACAGUACUGGUGUUCUCGUAGUAUCAGACAGGCGGUCAACCAAAAGUGAAGCGUGGAUGUUGGAUCCAGCUUGCUCUUUUCAUGCGACGCCCAACAAGGGAGUGGUUCUCUUCGUACAAGUCUCGUGA